GGUUAAGCGACUAAGCGUACACGGUGGAUGCCCUGGCAGUCAGAGGCGAUGAAGGACGUGUUAAUCUGCGAUAAGCGUCGGUAAGGUGAUAUGAACCGUUAUAACCGGCGAUUUCCGAAUGGGGAAACCCAGUGUGAUUCGUCACACUAUCAUUAACUGAAUCCAUAGGUUAAUGAGGCGAACCGGGGGAACUGAAACAUCUAAGUACCCCGAGGAAAAGAAAUCAACCGAGAUUCCCCCAGUAGCGGCGAGCGAACGGGGAGCAGCCCAGAGCCUGAAUCAGUAUGUGUGUUAGUGGAAGCGUCUGGAAAGGCGCGCGAUACAGGGUGACAGCCCCGUACACAAAAAUGCACAUGCUGUGAGCUCGAUGAGUAGGGCGGGACACGUGGUAUCCUGUCUGAAUAUGGGGGGACCAUCCUCCAAGGCUAAAUACUCCUGACUGACCGAUAGUGAACCAGUACCGUGAGGGAAAGGCGAAAAGAACCCCGGCGAGGGGAGUGAAAAAGAACCUGAAACCGUGUACGUACAAGCAGUGGGAGCACGCUUAGGCGUGUGACUGCGUACCUUUUGUAUAAUGGGUCAGCGACUUAUAUUCUGUAGCAAGGUUAACCGAAUAGGGGAGCCGAAGGGAAACCGAGUCUUAACUGGGCGUUAAGUUGCAGGGUAUAGACCCGAAACCCGGUGAUCUAGCCAUGGGCAGGUUGAAGGUUGGGUAACACUAACUGGAGGACCGAACCGACUAAUGUUGAAAAAUUAGCGGAUGACUUGUGGCUGGGGGUGAAAGGCCAAUCAAACCGGGAGAUAGCUGGUUCUCCCCGAAAGCUAUUUAGGUAGCGCCUCGUGAAUUCAUCUCCGGGGGUAGAGCACUGUUUCGGCAAGGGGGUCAUCCCGACUUACCAACCCGAUGCAAACUGCGAAUACCGGAGAAUGUUAUCACGGGAGACACACGGCGGGUGCUAACGUCCGUCGUGAAGAGGGAAACAACCCAGACCGCCAGCUAAGGUCCCAAAGUCAUGGUUAAGUGGGAAACGAUGUGGGAAGGCCCAGACAGCCAGGAUGUUGGCUUAGAAGCAGCCAUCAUUUAAAGAAAGCGUAAUAGCUCACUGGUCGAGUCGGCCUGCGCGGAAGAUGUAACGGGGCUAAACCAUGCACCGAAGCUGCGGCAGCGACGCUGAUGCGUUGUUGGGUAGGGGAGCGUUCUGUAAGCCUGUGAAGGUGUGCUGUGAGGCAUGCUGGAGGUAUCAGAAGUGCGAAUGCUGACAUAAGUAACGAUAAAGCGGGUGAAAAGCCCGCUCGCCGGAAGACCAAGGGUUCCUGUCCAACGUUAAUCGGGGCAGGGUGAGUCGACCCCUAAGGCGAGGCCGAAAGGCGUAGUCGAUGGGAAACAGGUUAAUAUUCCUGUACUUGGUGUUACUGCGAAGGGGGGACGGAGAAGGCUAUGUUGGCCGGGCGACGGUUGUCCCGGUUUAAGCGUGUAGGCUGGU
rnacentral:rRNA from 1 species